GACAGUGGUAGAUACAUGUAGUCCUUGGUAAGACAGUGGUAGAUACAUGUAGUCCUUGGUAAGACAGUGGUAGAUACAUGUAGUCCUUGGUAAGACAGUGGUAGAUACAUGUAGUCCUUGGUAAGACAGUGGUAGAUACAUGUAGUCCUUGGUAAGACAGUGGUAGAUACAUGUAGUCCUUGGUAAGACAGUGGUAGAUACAUGUAGUCCUUGGUAAGACAGUGGUAGAUACAUGUAGUCCUUGGUAAGACAGUGGUAGAUACAUGUAGUCCUUGGUAAGACAGUGGUAGAUACAUGUAGUCCUUGGUAAGACAGUGGUAGAUACAUGUAGUCCUUGUAGAGAAAUAGUAGUAUGAUAGUUUGAAGUCUGGUGUGGGUGAAAAGGUUCCAUCUGUUUAAAGAUGGAACGGAUAACUUAAAUUCUGUGUCUUGUCAUGUCAAAGGAAAAGGAAAAAACUCCUAAGAUGUUCUUAAAGUUUCCUUUAGCAAGAUGGCUCUCUAGGGUGUUGAUUAGGACUCCGCUGCCCUCUACUGGACCACUUAUAAAAAAACACAAUAUGAUGUGAUGUCUGCUUCCCUCUCCAGUGGCUCCCUCCGUGCCCGUCGUCAGCGUACAGGGCGAAGCAGAGUACUGGAACAACAUCAACCUGACCUGUGUGUCUGAGGAGGGCUCUCCUGCCCCGACCUAUAGCUGGAAAACAAACGAUGUCAGGAAUACUCCCAGAGUAUUCCCACCGAGGACCACGGAGAAGAAUGGUGUUCUAUCUCUGUUUAAUAUCUCCAUGGAGACUUCCGGUUUCUUCAUCUGCACCGCGACCAACCAGGUCCGAUCUGCCAGCUCAAACUUCACCCUCACUGUCAUGCCCCGUGAGUAUUGAGUAUACCCUGUGAGUAUUGAGUAUACCCUGUGAGUAUUGAGUAUACCCUGUGAGUAUUGAGUAUACCCUGUGAGUAUUGAGUAUACCCUGUGAGUAUUGAGUAUACCCUGUGAGUAUUAAGNNNNNNNNNNNNNNNUGAAUUUUAACUUCCUGAUUCCUCCAUUCUUUCAGAGAAUGGUGUUCUAUCUCUGUUUAAUAUCUCCAUGGAGACUUCCGGUUUCUUCAUCUGCACCGCGACCAACCAGGUCCGAUCUGCCAGCUCAAACUUCACCCUCACUGUCAUGCCCCGUGAGUAUUGAGUAUACCCUGUGAGUAUUGAGUAUACCCUGUGAGUAUUGAGUAUACCCUGUGAGUAUUGAGUAUACCCUGUGAGUAUUGAGUAUACCCUGUGAGUAUUGAGUAUACCCUGU
rnacentral:lncRNA from 13 species